AGAAAAUGUUUAAGUAAUUGAUGCAACUGGACACAGUCAGCAGACAAAACUGAGAACAGCCCCACUGAAAAGCAGAGCAUGGUGCUUCUCCUCUUAGAGGGACAGCUUUUCACACCUCUAGUGAGCCAUCAUGCUGGAGACCCUGCUAGUCCUCUUCCUUAACACAGUUUAAAGAAAGAGGUCGUCAAGGAUGGAGACGACUGAGAAAUCCAAGUGCAGCCUUUAUCUUCUUUCCCAAACACGCAAGAACCCAUCUGUUACUGAAGAGAAAAGGGAAAGCCUUUGCAGUUGUUCUGGACAGACUAAUUGUACAGUGGCCAAAAAGAGACUAUUGAAGCCUCUCGUUAAAGAAAAAGGAAGUUGUUGAAUCUCUGGUAAGGCCCACACAGCUGACAACAUGGAUCCAAGGGAAACGUCUGCUUAGUUGAAGAACGGCUGGAGAACCUCUCAUCCAAGGGAGAACCUGAAGCUUAAGUGUGUUGUGCCCCCAGGUAUGUGGCAUGCCCCACCAGGAGAUGGGAGGGAAAAUAAAGGACACCAAAAGAAAGGAUAAAAGGGAGGAGAACUAACCACAGCCAGGAAUAAACUGUGGGAAAAGGAGUGAUUUACCCAAGUACGACCCAUAGCACAAUCCAAAACACGGCAUCAGCCCAGACAAUUCCAAAAGCCAGAAAGUGUGUGAGAGCUACUUAACAAAGACUCAGUAAAAGGGUGGAGAGAAGCAUCUUUAUGCCAUUCCCCCUUUAUUUAGUGACAUUGUUGCACAUACAGAUAAAAGCCAACACUUGCCAUUUCUUAGAGUUGGAAGUUUAAUCGAGUUCUUCAAACACACAUUAAAAAUACAAGUCUGUGCGUGGUUGAAUCAUGCGGUUUCCCAGCAGGUUCCUUGAAUUAACAGAUUUCAACAGAAAUUGAAAAGGAUUUUAAAUUACUUUUUCAGUCAAAGGUCUCUCUACUAUUGGAAAUUCCAAUCUGGAGGAUUGUAUUAGCAAUUUAGCAUAGAUUGCCAAAGGGAACUGUUGAAGUCUCUUCUGCAAGCAUUUGUCUGUUUAUGGGUAUUUCACUCCUGAUAUGUACAAAUUCUGAUUUCUUGAAUAGGAACUCCUGGCCAGCAACGUACCUCGAAGCUCUACCUCAUUUCUUAUGCUCUUACGCUCCACUUGUAAAUGAUGGAAUUUAUCUCAAACCUUUCUGGCUACCCUAAUUUGAUAGAACCACAGAAUAGUAAUAGUUGAAGCAUGAAGGGACCUCAUCAGAUUGUCUAGUUCAGGCCCCACCCAGUUCAAAGACAGGUCAACUACAGCAGGUUGCUCAGGAUUGGAUCCGGUUGGGUUUCAGGGAUCUCCAAGGCUGAAGACUCCGCACCUCUGGGAAACCAAUUUCAGUGUUUGACCCCCUUCACUGUUAAGAAAUUAUUUCUUAUUUAAGAGAAUUUUCCUGUCUUUCAAUUUGUGCCCGUUGCCACUUGUCCUUUCUGGGCAGUGGUGAAAAGAUGCUGGUUCUGUUGUCUUUUACUGCUUCGCUUUUGGUAUUUACACGUAUUGAUAAGAUCUCCUGAGCCUUCUCUCCUCCAGUUAAACAAUACCAGCUCUCUCAGUCUCUCCUUGUAUGACACAUGCUCCAUUCUCUCAAUUAUCUUUGUGACCCUUCAAUGAACUUAUUCCAGUACCUGCAUGUCUCUCCCGUUCUGGGGAGCCUGGAACUGGACACAGCACUUGAGCUACGGUCUCACCAGUGCUUCACUAGAGAGAAAGAAUCCCUUGCUGGCAAUGCCUGGGAUGUUGUUGGCCACCUUUGAUGUAAGAUUGUUGGCUCAUGGUCAACUUUUCACCCACCAGGAGCCCUGGGUCCUUUUCUGCAGGGCUAUUUCCAGCCAUCAAUGUAUACUAGUGCAUGGUGUUAAUGCUCAUCUCCUGCAGAACUUGGCAUUUCCCUUUGUUGAACUUUGUGAGGUUCAUGAACAGGAGCUGGCCCAUUUCUCCAGCCUCUCAAGGUCUCUCUGAAUGGCAGCACAUCUAUCUGGUCUAUCAACUGCUCCUCUCAACUUUGUAAAUGCAAACUUGCUGAGGAUGCACUCUGUCCCCAUCAUCCAGGUCCCCAAUGAAGAGGUUAAGCAGUACUAAUCCCACCAUCAACCCCUGUGGUACUGCCCUAGGGAGAGGCCUCCAGCUGGAUUUCAUGCCCAGCCCAACCCUUGGAGCUCAACAGUUCAGCCAGUUUUCAGUCCACGUCACUCUUCAUUUGUUUAGUCUGUACUUUAUUAGUUUGUUGAUGCAGAUGAUAUGGGAGACAAUGUCAAAAGCCCUGCUAAAGUCAAGAUAAACAACAUCCACUCUCUCCUCUCAUCCACAAAGCCAGUGGUUUCAUCACAAAAGGCUACCAGAUUGGUCAGGCAUGGUUCCCCCUGGUUAUAUCCAAGCUGACAACUCCUAAUCAUCUUGUCCAUGAUAUAUGUGAAAAUAGCUUCCACAAGAAGUUGCUCUAUGACCUUCUCAGGGGUUGACGUGAGGCUGACAGGUUCGUUGUUUCCUGAAUUCUCCUUCUUGUCCUUCUGGAAGGCAGGUGGGAUAUUUGCUUUCUUACAGUCCCCAGGAAUCUCAUCCAAUUGCCAUGACCUUCCAGAUGAUGUCAUUGAGAGCAGCCCUGCACGCAUGGGUGAAUCCCACCAAAUCCUACGGACUUGUGUAUACUCUACUUGUUUAAAUGUUUCCAAACUCGAUCCUUCUCGAUUGAGGUUAUGUCUGCAGAGCUCCAGAUUUUUCCACUGAUCUCUCCACAGCCUGGGAUCCCUCAAAGCAAAUCUUACCAGUAAAAACCAAGGCAAAUAAUUUCGUUCUGCAGUAUAAAUAACUCAGUUUUACUUUUGCUGUAGUAUUUCUUGUAUGUGUACAAGUAGCAGCAAAUAGAGACAAUGACUGUGUGUUGCCUCUUGAGCAACCUGCACCUGAACGGUAUCUAUCUCAAACUGCUGUUCUUAGUGGUGAACCAUAUAUGGAUACAAAAAGAUAAAAAACCGUUAGAAGUAGCUGAGGGCAUUUUCCUGCAGAAUCAUAUUGUGAUAUUGGCAACAUAAAUCUGGUCUAGGGAAAGAAAGAAGAAUGACAAAUCUCUUGCAAAACUGGAACGGUAUUUUAACAAUCAUAAAAAAGACAGAUUCCUCCUUGUGGAAAGAAUAUGAGGAAAGCAUUUUUUUCUCCAAACAAACCCCAUAACUUUUAUACCUAAAUACUGGAGAUAAUGCAAGAACGAAAGCAAUCAUCUUCAUGCCUUCAAGAACUGAAUUUUGAAGCUUCUGAUCAAAUUCCUGUUAUUGUAUUGUUAAGGAAGUGGCCUCGUUCGCUGAACUGAAGCGAUUCUGGUAGAGCUUCCUGUUUAAAGCAGCAGGGAGUGCAGCCCCGAGAACAUCAAUCACACGGCUCAUGAUAUUAACUCGACUGGAGCACUGCAGGAACAGGCCUCCAGUCAACUUCAAGGCUCCCCUGCAACGUUAUAUACUGCAGUGUCCCAAAGUUAGUAUUUCUUUGCUGCCCCACAGUAAGUCUCUAAUAGGAACAGGUAGAGUUAGGAAGAGAUGGAACAACCGUGCAGUGCCGGGGAGUGAGACCAGGGGUCUGCCCUCCUCUCUCCCAUCUGUCACAAAAGGUGCAAAAAAUCGGAGAAAUCAAUGACAUCAUAACCUACACAUAAGUUCCUUCCACAGAAGAGACAGCAACUGCUUGACUUAAUAACUAGAAGUCCAAGGCAUAAAGAUUUAUAUCCCUUCUAAUUUUAAACUUUGUCUACCGCUGCGGGUAUUUUUUUUUAAUGGUUUUUAUUUUCUGGUAAUGAUUUCCACAGAAUAACUUUGUAUUUCUAAAUUUGUUGUCUGAGUUAGUUACAUUCUUUCAUGGAUUCUCACUUUAAUGUGGUAUUUUUAGAAGAAAAACACGAACAGUUAAGCUCUUCAUUGUUCUCUCAAUUUUGUAAUAAUUGUACUUCACAUUUAAACACGACAAGGAGAUAUAGCCAGUGCUCCUAUGAAAUCUUUCAUACUGACAAUUCCUUAUUAAAAGUAAACAUAAUCAUAAUUUGUCAAUAAAAAAUGUCCAAACUAGGAGCGGGAUGAAACAAACCAAACGCAACAUGUCAGACAGAUAUGUGCUCUGCAAGAAAGCCCUGUGGACAAAAUGUUAUGAAAGGGACUAUUCUGAUCUCUGUAACAGAGUAGAGUAAGUUGAUGUUCUGAACAGUUUUUGCUCUGUGCAGACGUGUACCUUCAUCUUCAUAGAAGUGCUGAAGGUGUUACCAACUUAAAGCAAGAGAUGGAGUACUGCCUGUUCCUUCAGGCUGUUUAAUCUUUCGCAGUUCUAAAUAUCCUCCCCCCCCAAUUAAAGUACAGUUUAGAAACAUGUUAAAUUUACUACCACCAUAAAUACCAAUUUCAAAAAUUGUGGAGGACAUAACAGCCGAACUCUGCUCUUACUUCUAGUUUAGGGGGUCAAAAGAAUGAAGCACCAUAUAAAAUACAGCAGGAUAAAUGUAUCUAAUGUGAUAAUUAUUUAACUGAACUGACAAGGAAAAUAUUUGAAUUUAUAUGUAUCAAUUCAUAUACUCAAUUUACUGAAAUGCUUCUUCAGUUUCCUAGAUGGGUUUUCUGAAAAAAAAAAAAAAGAAAUUUAUAUCCUAGAGCAUUUCAGGUUCAUAUAAUGCCAUUGUAGAGACAUUGCUGUUUGACUGAAUGGAUGAACAAACUCAUGGCUUUACUUACGCAAAUAACAUCGCUUAUAUAAAGGAACAUAUAUCUGAGCUUGCAUAUGACUUGAAGUAACUCUCAGAAACAUGAAUACUAAUAUGAAUCUUUGGCCACUGUUCCCAGAAUGUUACUCAUUCAAGCUUUGGGUGUGUUGUGCUGAGGAUUACAUUAUUAUGACUAUUAUCUAUGGUGGUUUAGCCCUAGCUGGCAACUGGGCACCACACAGCUGCUUGCUCAGUCCCCCCGCUGGGAUCGGGGAGAGAAUUGGAAGAGUAAAAGUGAGAAAACUCGUGGGUUGAGAUAAAGACAGUUUAAUAAGUAAAGGAAAAGCCGCGCACACAAGCAAAGCAAACCAAGGAAUUCCUUCACUACUUCCCCUCGGCAGGCAGGGGUUCGGUCGCCCCCAGGAAAGCUCCAUCACACCUAAGGGUUACCUGGGAAGAUAAACACCCUAACUCCACGUCUCCCCUUUCCUUCUUCUUUCCCCUGCGUGUGACAUCACAUGGUAUGGAACAGCCCUUUGGCCAGCUGGGGUCAGCUGUCCCAGCGAUGGCCCCUCCCAACCUCUCGUGCACCCCCAGCAUACUCGCUGGUGGGGCGGUGCGAGGAGCAGAAAAGACCUUGACUCUGUGUAAACCCUGCUCAGCAGCAAUUAAAACAUCCCUGUAUUAUCAACACUGUUUUCAGGACAGAUCCAACACACGGCCCCACACUAGCUACUAUGAAGAAAAUUAACUCUAUCUGAGCCCAAACCAGCAUGCUAUCUCACAAAGUUGUAUUUGGACAAUACCUACAUGCUUGCAGAGGGACUUAGCAGAAGGGACAUCAAGCUAAGAUGCAACAAAAAAAAUCAAAUCUCAAUGAAGUAUUUUUAUGGUCAGUGGCUGACCAGUAUGAGGCUCCAGGACCAUUUGCUCUCAGGUCUCUAGAUGUUCAAGUUGAGCACAGCUUCCCCUAUCCUGCUGCUCACAAAAGCAAAGGCUUUUACCUACUAGAUCAGAUGGCAACAGUUUCUUGCUUGUCGUACCAAGGCAGGGGAGGCACUGGGGAAGCAGGGGGGUCCUGGAACAAUUGCAGAAACGUUCAGGCUCUGACCCAGUGACAAGUUCAAUUGCACUGGGCUGUUCCGGGCUGCGACUGACAGGUCUGACAUCCCAAGUACCUGCUUCCCAUUCAUUACCUGACACUCAGCCCCAUUCACUCGACACACACCACCAGUUUUGGCCCCUAAACGGUCUGGCAUGACUUACUGGCUGGCAGCGAGGAGGAACCUCAAGCUGUGCUCACUGAUGCUGUUGGAGUUAGAAGUAGCAAGGGAGGAAUUUUAAGAACAGGAUCCUCAGAACUGUGUGUGGAGAAGGAGAUAGUGGGAAUGGUAAAAGGGGUGGGAAUGAAGUGUCAUAUGAGCAAAUGUUGGUAUAUGCAAUUUUUAUAAAGAAUUUAAAAUGAAAGGUAGACAAUAAAGCUAAGAAGAUGCACAGGCACCGAAGACAUCUUAGAGCAAAAAUUUACAAAAUGUUCCAAAAAUAGGAGGGCAAUUUAAGCUCAAAUGAAUGCACAAGGACUAACUCCAGAAACCUGUAAAGGGAAAAUUCCUACUUCUUACUCAACAAAAAGGAUCAGGAUUGAACAUGGUAAUUCAUAAGAAGAGGGAGAACAAUCCAAAUCUAAGUAGCAAUGACCAUAUGGACUGAGAAAGCUAUUUAGGGCGAGCCAGUCCUGGGGAACAGAAAAAGAAAAUUCCAUAGUCCUCCCUUUCUCUCCCUUAAGUUAACUGUGAACCUGAAGCAACUGAAAAGAAAACUUAUUUGGGAAGCUUAAUUUUAAAUUGCAUUUUUGUUAUUUACUUUGCACCCCCUCCUACACGUCAACCUUUGCUCUUAGAAUAAACUCACUUUACUCUGGAAGCUUGUCUUGGCAUUAAAAGCAACUCUUAAGCAACUCUGGGAUGAAUAAGGCGUAUUAUUUCAGAAACAAUUAAUCCAAAUAAAGAAGAGCCUUAGCCCUACCUUGUUGCACUCACCUAAGGCAAGUGGGAGGAACCUUGGGAACCGAGCUCUCUAAGAGGCAAGGAUCAGCUGGAGAACCUGUAACAUCAGAUAUCGAGAAAAGUCAGCUCUCCCCUUUCAGCCAAGGAGACAUAAUACAAAGACAGCCCCGAAACCUGAGAAACUUGUUAAAAGCAGGUAUUUCCAUGCCCUGCUGUUACAGUAUGACAGGAAAUUAAACUACCUGAUGUAUUCACUGUACAUUUACUCAAAUGCAUUUAAUAUGAAUGUACUUUUAUUUUAUAGUUAAAUCAAUAAAAAAGGUAGAGUUGUCAGUUCUUUACUACUGUUCUAUAGUCGUAGGUUCCUUGCAAGGUUAUCACCAGCCUCUCCCCUCCACCGUAUUUCCCAUAGCCUGGUAAAUACUUAAUGAAGCUCAAAACAACUGUUCUUAAACUCAUAACUUAGCUUUGAAGUUCACUGCUUUUGUUUCAGUUCUGACAAAAGGGCUUCUAUUCCCCAAACUUUUCAGCCAGAGUGGCAAUGAUACUCCAAUGGCAUGUGGCACUAGUUAUUCCACUUUGAAAUGCUGUAUACUAUCAGUUUGCACUGUUUCCCUUAAAGAAUUUGAGAGUAGAAUUUCCUUUGAAAAGCCAACUCACUCAUUUAUAAGAGUAACUUCUUGUUGAAGUCAGUUGGUUUGUCCUUGUCAUGAAAGCAGGAAGUUCCUUUAGCAAGGAAAUUAUCAUUUCUAAGAUCUAUACCUGAGAGUUGAUAUUUACAGCUGAACAGUAAAGUGAGCUUUCAAUCAUCCCUCUUUACAAGCUCUGCCUGAUUUUGUUAACAUUGUGUUAAAAUGGAAAAAAAAAUAAUGGUCUGAGCUGAACAUGAGUCCGUGUUUCCGAGAGACACCAAUGCACUUCCCCAUCAGAGAAUCUGUGAAUGCUUAGAGGAAAGAAAGUUGGUCCAAAUCAGUUUUACGAUAGAAAUCAUUUACUGCCUUAAAAGCAGAGAAGCUUGGGAACUCUCAGAGCAGCUCUAAGACCUACACAAAAUAAUAAUUCAAAUAUCUAAAGCCAAAGUGUUCUUCUAAAAGAGCCCAGGGAUAUUAGCGAACCUGUAGAUCUGCAGACUGUAGAAAGUUAUUUGUAUUUUUCCUAAUAAGUAGAGCACCAAACAAAUGUUCCUUGAGCUGCCAAUCAACAGCUGCAUCAUGAAGAGUUCCUACUAAUAUAAACAGGAAUCACCCUGGGCACUAAAUUACUAAUAUAGCAGAAUUGACUAAUUAAAGAUUAUAUUAAUUCAGAAAACAGCUGAUGGAUGUGAGGCUUAUUGUGCUGUACAGAAUAUUUGACUGCUUUGGAGGAAGGACUAGAUAAAGUUACAAAUGCCAAUAUUUCAACAGUAGAUUUUUUAUGGAAUUAAUUCAGUUUGACUGGCACCAGCUUUUGCAGAAAUAUUCAAUGAAGUCACAGAUAUUUUAGGCUAAGCAAAGCCCAAACAAAAAAAAGGUAAGUCUCAAAUAAGACUUUACUGUCAAAAAGUGAUAGCUAAUACUGAAACCCAUUUUCCUUUCCAUCUAUUUUGCUAAAAGGAGUUUCAGUAAUUGUUCCUGUUUUCUGACUGUGAAUGUGUUCCCAAAACAACCUUAUCAAACAAACAGAGGAACAAGAACUGUACACAAUGGUGCAUCUAGUAACUCUGUCCCAUUGUCCCUUCCUGUCCUCUGCCACAGCUCUCUUUUUGUUCUUUACUGAAUAAUGUCAUAUGGGAAGACUGGUAUGGUAAACACCUGAAUAUCUUAAAUUGUCAUUCAAAUAAACAAAGUUCACAAGAAA